AUUUAUAUAGUAUAUAAAUCAGUACAAAUAAUUUCCAAUUAUUAAGAUUAAAUUUUAAUAUAAAUA
rnacentral:tRNA from 1 species